AGCUGAAAAUUCAAGCGGAAGCUGCUAUGAUAGAAUUUGCAAUUCACCCCUGCGGAGUGGAACAGACCCAGAUAUGUGAAGCUUGAAUAUAUCUACCUGAGUAAAGUGAUAUUUGCUGGGCUGAGAAAAGGACAGGAGAAGAAACUGGGUGCAGAAUUGGUUUUUCCCUCUUCUUCCUACCUGAGCCAUCCAGACAGCACAGCUGCCCCACAGAUAAAAGCAACCAUCCUUCCAAGGCAAUCUGUUGGUGAUAGCUGAUGAAAAUAGAAAAUAAAAACAGAACGUGCCUCCGGUUGCCAGGGAACAUAGAAAGUGCUCACCAGCCAUUAUCUCAUAUUCUGACCGUGCAAAGUGGUUGCCAUUCUGAGAAUGGAGGUGAGGAAACUGAGGCUCAAGGGUGAAACUGCCUUGCCUAAGGUCACACACCUAGGAACUGACAUGGUUAUGAUUCAAUUUCAAACCUGGUGCUCAUCCUCUAACACUGGGACAAAGCUGGUUAUAAAUCAUGCUGGCAGUCUAUUGAGCCUGUGGUUUUGGCUGGUGUGAAGAUGUUGAAGGAAGGUUUGUAU
rnacentral:lncRNA from 10 species